rnacentral:ncRNA from 1 species
AUAGAAUAUGAGCUCCGAGCUUAUGUUCCUAAGGUUUAAACUAUGGAAUGUCAGCCGAUAGGGUGGGGCCGGAAACAGCCCCGCCUCCCCAUUGGAAAGGAGUAAUACCAGUUUGGUU